AAGGCUUUCGGGUCGUAAAACUCUGUUGUUAGGGAAGAACAAGUGCUAGUUGAAUAAGCUGGCACCUUGACGGUACCUAACCAGAAAGCCACGGCUAACUACAUGCCAGCAGCCGCGGUAAUACGGACGUGGAAAGCGUUAUCCGGAAUUAUUGGGGGUAAAGCGCGCGCAGGCGGUUUCUUAAGUCUGAUGUGAAAGCCCACGGUUCAGCCGUGGAGGGUCAUUGGAAACUGGGAAACUUGAGUGCAGAAGAGGAAAGCGGAAUUCCAUGUGUAGCGGUGAAAUGCGUAGAGAUAUGGAGGAACACCAGUGGCGAAGGCGACUUUCUGGUCUGUAACUGACACUGAGGCGCGAAAGCGUGGGGAGCAAACAGGAUUAGAUACCCUGGUAGUCCACGCCGUAAACGAUGAGUGCUAAGUGUUAGAGGGUUUCCGCCCUUUAGUGCUGAAGUUAACGCAUUAAGCACUCCGCCUGGGGAGUACGGGCUCCAGGCUGAGACUCAAAGGAAUUGACGGGGA
rnacentral:rRNA from 1 species